UACCCGCUCCCCGAGUGGUGGGGACUUUUAUUGGGCUUAAAGCGUCCGUAGCGGGCCUAGUAAGUUUCCCGUUAAAUCCAGUGGCCUAACCAUUGGGCUGCGGGAAAUACUGCUAGGCUUGGGGGUGGAAGAAGCCACCGGUACUCCUAGGGUAGGGGUAAAAUCCUCUGAUCCUAGGAGGACCACCAGUGGCGAAGGCGGGUGGCUAGGACACGCCCGACCGUGAGGGACGAAAGCUGGGGGAGCAAACGGG
rnacentral:rRNA from 1 species